AUUAAACUGUUAAUAGCUCCUGACUGAUUCCUCUUCUGCAACUGUCACUAGUCUAAUACUAUCCUUACCUUUUUGUGUCAUUUUACCCCACUCCCUCUAGCAUGUAAGCUCAUUGAGCAGGGCCCUCAACCCCUCUGUUCCUGUGUGUCCAACUUGUCUAGUUACAAUUACAUGUCUGUUCGUCCACCCAUUGUAAAGCGCUGCGGAAUUUGACGGCGCUCUAUAAAUAUCAUAAUAAUAAUAAUAUAUACAAAAUGUAUAAUCAAUGAUUUUAUGAAUGAUAC